AAACACAAGAUCAACUAUGCUAUCAAGCCAACCACCCACGGAAAUAACAGCUAAAAGCAUAAUAGUACCCUGAUCCUAAUGUUUUCGGUUGGGGCGACCACGGAGGACAAAAUAGCCUCCAUGUCGACGGGGGCACUGCCCCUAAAACCUAGGGCGACAGCCCAAAGCAACAGAACAUCUGACGAACAAUGACCCAGGCUACAAGCCUGAUCAACGAACCAAGUUACCCUAGGGAUAACAGCGCAAUCCUUUCUAAGAGUCCAUAUCGACGAAAGGGUUUACGACCUCGAUGUUGGAUCAGGACAUCCUAAUGGUGCAGCCGCUAUUAAG
rnacentral:rRNA from 1 species